UGGAGGGACACUGUAAUAACACACUGUAUCAUGUGUGCGACACACGGUAAGUGCUCAAAUGGCAGACUCCUGGCUGCUGCCAUCAUAUUUCGAGCACUCUCUGUUCCUAUAGUGGUAACCUUGUCUGUUAUUUCCCACUCCUUAGCAACAUCAAGAAACUGAUGAGCACAUGCUUCGGAAAAUGUCUUUCCUCUGUUUUCAAUACACCUAGUGCAAAUGAGUGCAGCCGCCAGCUAUCAUCAAUCAGGUGUGCUGUUACCCCGAGGUAGUUAUGAUUGCUUACUGAUGUCCAGUGGUCUCCUGUCAGUGCAAUAAAUGUAGCUUUGGCCAGCUGAUCCACCGUUGCCUUUUCAUUUCCAUACAGUUCGUGAAUUCUUGUGACAACAGUUCCCCUUGAAGGUGUUCUAUAUAAUGGGUCACCUGUAGCUAUCUGUGCAAGAUUCUGAAGCCCCUCAUCUUCAACAAUAUUGAUGGGUCUGCAGUCUCUAGCAACCCAUUCAGCGAUUGCAUUAUUUAACUUAGUUGUUGUGUUUUUGUUGACGAGUCUGAAGUCCACUGCAUUCUGCCAGUGUAGCUUGAUGACUGCGGCUUGAUGAUCCCACACUGUUGUUAGCAUUUUUGCUAACAUUAGCAAAUAUAUGCUUUGCCCAAAGGUGGUACUUUAGACUCAUGCUUCGAUGGAAAGACAAUUCAUCACUGCAAUAUGUACACACAACUUUUGUUUUAUCCAUACUUCCAUUA